rnacentral:tRNA from 1 species
GCCUGAGUGGCCUAACUGGCAGACGCACAGGACUUAAAAUCCUGCGGGGUUAAGCCCCGUAUCGGUUCGCCCCCAGUCUCCGGUACCA